rnacentral:rRNA from 1 species
GAUGAACGCUAGCGGCAGGCUUAAUACAUGCAAGUCGUGGGGCAGCAUGAAGUAGCAAUACUUUGCUGGCGACCGGCAAACGGGUGCGUAACACGUACGCAACCUUCCCGUUACUGGGGAAUAGCCCAGGGAAACUUGGAUUAAUACCCCAUAUUAUAUUGGUCAGGCAUCUGACUGAUAUCAAAGCUUCGGCGGUAACGGAUGGGCGUGCGGUUGAGUAGGUAGUUGGCGGGGUAACGGCCCACCAAGCCUACGAUCAAUAGCUGAUGUGAGAGCAUGAUCAGCCACACGGGCACUGAGACACGGGCCCGACUCCUACGGGAGGCAGCAGUAAGGAAUAUUGGGCAAUGGACGCAAGUCUGACCCAGCCAUGCCGCGUGAAGGAUGAAGGUCCUCUGGAUUGUAAACUCCUUUUAUCUGGGGCGAAAACCGGCUAUUCUUAGCCGUUUGACAGUACCAGAGGAAUAAGCACCGGCUAGCUCUGUGCCAGCAGCCGCCGUAAAAC